CCUACGGGGGGCUGCAGUGGGGAAUAUUGGACAAUGGGGGUAACCCUGAUCCAGCCAUGCCGCGUGUGUGAAGAAGGCCCUCGGGUUGUAAAGCACUUUCAGUGAGGAAGAACGCCUGGUGGUUAAUACCCAUCAGGAAAGACAUCACUCACAGAAGAAGCACCGGGUAACUCCGUGCCAGCAGCCGCGGUAAUACGGAGGGUGCGAGCGUUAAUCGGAAUUACUGGGCGUAAAGCGCGCGUAGGUGGCUUGAUAAGCCGGUUGUGAAAGCCCCGGGCUCAACUUGGGAACGGCAUCCGGAACUGUCAAGCUAGAGUGCAGGAGAGGAAGGUAGAAUUCCCGGUGUAGCGGUGAAAUGCGUAGAGAUCGGGAGGAAUACCAGUGGCGAAGGCGGCCUUCUGGACUGACACUGACACUGAGGUGCGAAAGCGUGGGUAGCAAACAGGAUUAGAUACCCGAGUAGUC
rnacentral:rRNA from 1 species